AUUGAACGCUGGCGGCAGGCCUAACACAUGCAAGUCGAACGGUAACAGGGAUCAGCUUGCUGAUUCGCUGACGAGUGGCGGACGGGUGAGUAAUGUCUGGGAAACUGCCUGAUGGAGGGGGAUAACUACUGGAAACGGUAGCUAAUACCGCAUAACGUCGCAAGACCAAAGAGGGGGACCUUCGGGCCUCUUGCCAUCGGAUGUGCCCAGAUGGGAUUAGCUAGUAGGUGGGGUAACGGCUCACCUAGGCGACGAUCCCUAGCUGGUCUGAGAGGAUGACCAGCCACACUGGAACUGAGACACGGUCCAGACUCCUACGGGAGGCAGCAGUGGGGAAUAUUGCACAAUGGGUGCAAGCCUGAUGCAGCCAUGCCGCGUGUAUGAAGAAGGCCUUCGGGUUGUAAAGUACUUUCAGCGGGGAGGAAGGGAGUAAAGUUAAUACCUUUGCUCAUUGACGUUACCCGCAGAAGAAGCACCGGCUAACUCCGUG
rnacentral:rRNA from 1 species